rnacentral:rRNA from 1 species
UAAGGAAUAUUCGACAAUGGAGGCAACUCUGAUCCAGCCAUGCCGCGUGAAGGAAUAAGGCCCUAUGGGUUGUAAACUUCUUUUAGACGGGACAAAACCCCUUUACGUGUAAAGGGUUGAUGGUACUGUCAGAAUAAGCAUCGGCUAACUUCGUGCCAGCAGCAGCGGUAAUACGAAGGAUGCAAGCGUUAUCCGGAAUUAUUGGGUUUAAAGGGUGCGUAGGCGGACUAAUAAGUCAGUGGUGAAAGCCUGCAGCUUAACUGCAGUAUUGCCAUGGAUACUGUUAGUCUUGAGUACAGUUGAGGUAGGCGUAAUGUGUCAUGUAGCGGUGAAAUGCUUAGAUAUGACACAGAACACCGAUUGCGAAGGCAGCUUGCUAAGCUGUAACUGACGCUGAGGCACGAAAGCGUGGGGAGCAAACA